CUCCCCAUUCUUUCCGAUGAACAUCCAAGGAGUAAUACGUUGAAGUUGCCGCAUCAACAUCAGUGACUGUCGGAGUUCAAAGAAGCCGCCAGAAAUAGAGGCUGGAAAGGAAGGAUUCUUUAAUAAUUUUUAGUUUGAUUAUCUUCAUUUGUUUGUGUGGGAUUGAGAUUUAAUCGAAUAUUUUUCUUUGAGAAUCUAGAGUCCAUUUGUGGAUUUUAUUAUUAUUAUUAUUAUUAUUUUAAUAAUUGAGAGCUUUGCUUAAAUAUAUUCUGUGAGUUUUAAAAAAACCAAAAAGAGAUUGAACUAGAAACCCUAAUGUCGAUCUUGAUGCUUGUCGGUAAUGGAAAUUUGCGGAUUUUGUAUGUAUUUAUAUCCAUAGAUAAAUAAGAUAAAACUUUGGUUAUAUCUUUAAGAUUUGGUGGAGGAUUUCUUGAAUUGGAAAAUGAAGAAUACUUUCCAAUUCUAUCAGUCCAUCACCAUUGGGAGUCAGAGGUAGCGACUAUAAUCUCUUUAAUUCGUAUUCUCCCAACUUGUCCGAAACACAGCCCAAAAAAACAUACGCAAUUCUCAAAUCGUAUUAGUUGCGGUCCCCUCCCCAUUUGUGUUUCUUUUUACAAAUCCAACGUUGUUCUCCUUACUCUUCUACUUCCGCUAUUCUUCUCCUUCCUAUUCUCUCUUCUCUUCAUCUUUUUUCUGCCUUGCUAUGUUUCCUUUUAUUGCCGCCGCUGCUGUUAUUACGCCACCAUCGCUGUUGUUACAAUGCCCUUUUUUCUUUUCUUCUUUCUCUUCUUCGCUCCUCAGGCUGGAAUUUGUUUGCCUGAUCCACCCGCAUUAAAUCGAUUCCCAAACUCGCAUUGAAAGAGAGUUUUCCUACUGUAUGCCUCUAGCUGGGUCAGGGAUAUUGGUCCGGAGCUCAGGCCACAUAAUUACCUGAAGAAGAAAGGGAGUUUCUUUUUUUUUUUUUUCUUUAAUUUAAUUAGUAUUUUGAAAUGUAUGAAUAGUGAGAUUUUGGUUUUGAAACGAAAACCAAACAAACCCUUGAGGAACUUAGCAGAAAUUGAUAGGGGGAAAGUAAAAUGUGAGGAAAACAUAAUAAAAGUUGAAAUGUGAAGCUCAUAACUUGUUUUGUUGAAGGAUUUUGAUAUGUAAACUGUAUAUACACCGAGUAGAAAAACUUUGUGGAAGUUUUGAUUUAAUGUUGAAUAGCUAGAUGGACAAGAUAAAUUUCAUUUCAUUUUAUUUUAUUUUGUAGACAAGGUAGUCCCUAAUUUUCUGAUCUUUUUGAUUCUUUAACAUGUUUCCAUCAUCUUUUCUUGUCCUUGAACAUUUUUUGUCAACCAACAUCUAAAAAUGGUGUAACCAUACAUAUAGGAGAGUGUUUUUAUAUUUGUCAUGUAGAGUAUCUUUGAUUCAUAUUGUUAUUAGAAGGUUUUUGAAGAUAUAUUAGUCAAAGUUGUCUUUGUACUAGGUGAUGGAAUGCUUAGUGUAUGAAUAAUUGUGCAAACUAAUAUGCAAUCUUCUUGCUGAGACUGAAAUUCCGAUUUAUUGGACACUUGGUUUGGUGGGAGAUGACAAAUGUGAUACUUGCAUAAGCAUGCUUUUGGGCUUUGGAGGAUGAACUUUUACUCAAAUUUGAUUAACCAUGCUUUGUUAUUAUUUGUCCAUUUCGUACACGAUUAGUGAUUAUGUUAUAUAAAUGUGGCUGUAAAAAGGGCGAAUGAAGAUGUUAUUAGGGCCAGCAAUGAGGAAUCUCAUUGAAGGAUAUAUUCAACAGAUUAUGGAGAAGAAGGAAACCCCGAACCUGAAAAUGAAGCUGAGUUGAUUUAUCUCAGAGCUUGAUCUAGUGAUUAAUGAAGUCAACUCUGAAUUCCAAUUGGUUAGUAGUGGAGUGGAGGCUAGCAUAAAUAAAUGGGUGGGCUCUCUCUCUCUCUCUCUCUCUCUCUCUGCUCUCUAUUAUGUUCAUUGUUCACUGCACUGCACAAGUGUGCAUCUGUGCAUGUAUGUAAAACGACCAUGAUGCCUGCCUGCCUACCCUGCAGUGUUUUUGUUGUUUCUACAUUUCUGUAAGACUAGUAAUUACUAGUAUUAUUGUUAAUGAUAUCUCUCUCUGUCUC